AGGGUUUGAUCAUGGCUCAGAUUGAACGCUGGCGGCAUGCCUAACACAUGCAAGUCGAACGGAAACGAUGCUAGCUUGCUAGCAGGCGUCGAGUGGCGGACGGGUGAGUAAUGCAUAGGAAUCUACCUAAUAGUGGGGGACAACCUGGUGAAAACCAGGCUAAUACCGCAUAAUCCCUACGGGGCAAAGCAGGGGACCUUCGGGCCUUGCGCUAAUAGAUGAGCCUAUGUCAGAUUAGCUAGUUGGUGAGGUAAUGGCUCACCAAGGCGACGAUCCGUAGCUGGUUUGAGAGGAUGAUCAGCCACACUGGGACUGAGACACGGCCCAGACUCCUACGGGAGGCAGCAGUGGGGAAUAUUGCACAAUGGGCGAAAGCCUGAUGCAGCAAUGCCGCGUGUGUGAAGAAGGCCUUAGGGUUGUAAAGCACUUUCAGUAGGGAGGAAAAGUAAGUAGUUAAUAACUGCUUACCCUGACGUUACCUACA
rnacentral:rRNA from 1 species